rnacentral:rRNA from 1 species
CCCUGAGUAAAGCGGCGUACGGGUGAGUAACACGUGGGUAAUCUACCUUUUAGUGGGGAAUAACCCUGGGAAACCGGGGCUAAUACCGCAUAAUCCUGUGAAGGGAAAGCAGCAAUGCGCUGAAAGAGGAGCCCGCGGCCGAUUAGCUAGUUGGUGGGGUAACGGCCUACCAAGGCGACGAUCGGUAGCUGGUCUGAGAGGAUGAUCAGCCACACUGGGACUGAGACACGGCCCAG